CAAAGUUCUGUUCUCAACACCCGGAAGGAGUGAACAUGUUAGGCAUUACAAACAGGCAGAUGGUGAAACAGAUAAAUUGGACAUCCAUUGUAAUGUUCAAGGUGAUGUUGUGCUCGAGUGUAUGAGUUUGGAUGCUAAUCUUGAACAUGGAAAAUCAAUGUUUCGUGCAAUGUUUAAUACUGCAUUUGUAUCGGAUAAUGUUCUGAAGCUUGAGUUUGAUGGUAUGGAUGUCCCAUGGGAUCGCAAGGAUCAAUAUCCAAAGGAAUUUAUGGCAGAGAUUGUUUUCUCGCAAGUGGAUGCUGCUACUUCGCUUGUAAUGGUUGAUUUGUCCGGUGA